UUUUUUUUCUUUUUUUUUUUUGCUGAUAUGUAGAUGUUUUGCCAUUUUCUUUUUUGAGAACAAUUGAAAAGCUGUGAAGAUAAAGAAGGAAAUACUUUGUACCAGUACUGAUGACAUCCAUUCUGGGAAAUAAUUCAUUAUAAAUCAGUUUUUAGGAAGCUAGGGGAAAUGCUUUCAGACCUGUACUGUAGUAUCACAUUCUGCUUUCACGUAGGUAAGUGCAGCUGUGCUGAAGUCCUGGAGCAGCAUCAAUGCCAUGUGUACUCUGUUAACUCAUUUUAACAAUGCCCUGAGAUGCCUCUGAACAGUGACUGAUGAACUUGAAGCACUGGUCUGUUCCCAGUCCUGUGAUGGCAUUGGUGUCAGCUAGAUGUGGUGGGAUGAGCACCACAGGCAGGGCAUGUGCAGUGGAGGAGUUGCACUGUGUGUGAGGGAGAGGUGUGGCUGUACAGUCCUUACAGUUAGAAAUUAUAUGUUUGGGAGCUUCUGGAUGAGGAAUGGUGGGGAUGGAAAACAAAGUAAAUGUUGUAGUGGGUGUCUACUAUGGGUGGCCCAGGCAGAAUAAUAGGAUUAAUGAGUUAUUCUAUAGGCAAGAGAAAUAUCUGGAUCAGCAGCCUUUGUCCUUAUAGGAGAUUUUAACUUCCCAGACAUCAGCUGGGAAUACCAUCCUGAUGUGACAAGCAAGUCUGGGAAAUUCCAGUGGUUUGUUGAAGAUAACUUCUUGAUCCUAUUUCAUUGAGUCAGCUAGGAAAGAUUACAUCCUGGACUUGUUAUUUGUGACUAAAGAAGGACUCAAGGCGGAUGUGGCAGUCGGUGACUGUCUUGGCCACAAUGAUCACAGAAUGGUUUAGAAUUGUCACAGCAAGGGUUUAAAAUUGUCACUGUAAUGAGAAAAAAAUAAUUUCUACCCUGGACUUCAGGCAAGCAAACUUUAAGCUAUUCAUGGAGCUAUUUAGCAGAGUCCUCUGGGAAUCUGCUUUUGUGGGCUUGGGGGUCCACAAGUGCUGGUCAGUUUUCUACAGCUGCCUUUUAGAGGCACAGGAGCAGACAAAUCCCCUGUGUUUUAAGUCAAAUAAGCAGAGAAGGAGACCAGCUCAGCCAAACAUGGAGCUCAGGAGGCAAAAGAAAUGUCAUAAUCUCUGGAAGCAAGGUCAGGCUUCACAGGAAGAUUGCAGAGCUCUAGUUUGUAUAUGCAGGGAGAAGACAUGUAAGGCCAAAGCUGAUAUAGAGUUGAAACUGGCCAGUGCUAGGUCAGAUGACAAAAUAGGCUUUUUAAAGUAUAUUAGUAGAGCAAGGAAGUCUCAGGAAAACAUUGAACCACUACUUAUUGAAGAUGAUCACCUGAUAAAUAGGAAUUAAGGAAAAGGGAAAGCAUACAAUGGUUUUUUUAUCUCAGACCCUAAUGAUAGACCUUGGGUUGCCUGGUCCCCUGAGUCAGAGGACUAUGGCUGUAGGAACAGUGACUUUUCAUUGCAAGGAAUCAGUUGCCUCAGUUGAAUGUUCUUAAUCCCAUGAGGCUUGAUGGAAGUCAUCCCAGAGUUCUGAAGGAAGUGAGUAUGUUGUGACAGGACCCCUCUUGAUCUCCCAGAGAUCUUGGGAGUCUGGGGAGGUCCCCUCUGACUGGAAGCUAGACAGUGUUAUUCCAAUUUAAAAGGACAUGAGUGAAGACUCAGGAAAGUACAGACCUGAGUACCUGGAAAAAUUACGGAGAAGACCAUGCUGCAUACUACUGAAAGUCAUUUAAAGAACAAUGCAAUCAUCAGGCACAGUCAACAUGGGUUCACAAAGGGAAAGUCCUGUUGAACUAAUUUGGUAUUUUUCUGUGAGGUUACCCACCUAGUGGAUGAAAUAAAGGUGGUGGACAUAGUCUUUAUAGAUUUUAGUGAGGCUUUUGAUACUGUCCUUCAUGGCAUCUUUUUGGACAAGCUGUCCAGCUGUGGGAUGGGCAGGUUUGUGAUGUGUUGGGUGAUGAUCUGACUCAGCAAGGUCCAAGGGCUGUAGUGAAUGGCACUACAUCUGGCUGGUGUCACAGCAAUGCUCCUCAAGGCUCAGCUCUAGGCCCAGUUCUCUUUAUUGUAUUUAGCAGUGAUCUGGAUUCUUUAUUGUACUUAUACUUAUUCUGGAUGCAGGAGUUGAAUGAGCCAAUAGCAACUCUGCUGGUGAUAAUGCCACCGGCUCUCUGGAGGGAGAAGAGGCCUUGCAGAGGAUCUAGAUAGAUUGGAGCAUCAGGCAAUGAUUAAUGGGACAAAAUUUCCAAUUCCAAAGGCCACAUUCUGCACCUGGAAUUGAGUAACACCAGGCACAAACGUAAGUGGGGAGAGGGGUGGCUGGAGGGCAGCACUGCAGAAGGAGAUCUGGGGGUGCUGGUUUGCUCAAUAUGAGCCAGAAUUGUAAUUGUAUUGGAGUUCUGUGUGCAGUUCUGGGCCCCACAGUUUAAGAAGGGUGUUUCAAUGCAUUCAGAGGAGGCAGCAAAACUGGUGGAGGGGCUGGAAGGUACAUCCUAUAAGAAGCAGCUAAGACUUUUAGUUUAGUUUGAAGGGAAGGAGGCUGAGAGGGAACCUCAAAGCUCUCUACACCUCCCAGAGGAGAGGGAGAGGAGAGAGGGAUCUCUUCUCCUUUAUAUCCAGUCACAGGACAGUGGUUGAAAGCUGCUCCAGGAGAGAUGUAGAGUGGACAUUAGGAAGUACUUCUUUACUGAGGGAGAGGUCAAACUCUGCAACAGGUUCCCUAGAGUGGUGGUCAAUGCCCCAUUCCUGGCAGUGUUUGAGGCAUCUGGGGAAAUGUCUUUAACACUAUUUUUCAAUGAGCCCUGAAUUGGUCAGGCAGUUGGAUUAGAUGGUUGUUGUAGAUCCCUUCCAGCUAAACUAUACUGUUCUAUUAUUUUCUGUCCAGGAAGUUGUUCUACACCCAUAUUCCCAAGGACAUCAGUGUCUAAUUUGGGCAGUUACAUUCAGUUCUCCUUCAACAAAAAUAAAGGAAAAAUGACUGCCUUGAUUAAUAUGAGGCUGCUAUUAUUAAACAAAUAUUCCAGGAAAGAUUGUCAAAUUUAUAGCUUACAGGAAACUCCAGAGAAUGUCUGCAUUUAAAUAGGUCCCUAGGAGGAGAUAAAUCCAUGAAUAUCAGUGUUUUGCCAAAGUUAGCUAUAAGCACCUGUGUCUACAACUGGUAACUGUUGUGCCAUUACUGUACACUGUCAUCAAGUAUUUAUUUAAACAAACUGUAAACUUACUUCUAUUUACAUAAACUAUAAACCAGCAGCCUUCCAUUUCCAGGAAUAGUAUUUAGUAAAAAGAGGGACUAGUCUGUGUUUGCAGUACUUUGUACCCUCUACACGGUCUGCUGGUGAAGCAGAAUAUUAAUUGGAGAAAGAUCUGCCAGUGCAAACGUAAAUCCUGGUAUCUUUUGCAGCAGGUUAGCAAUAGAAUGCCCGACUCCAGAGUUGUUACCGUCCCUGUCUUAUCAGCUACAGCAGAGAGGAAGAGGCAGAGGGUGUAGCUUCUCUUGCUGAAAGAUAUUAUCUUCUCUCUGGGCCAACUGCUCUGAGUGUUCUGUGUCUCAGAGACCCAUCUCUUCCUGUGUUCUUCUCAUUUUUCCUGAAGAAGACGAGGGCAUGGAUAUGCAAAGUCCUCAGGAGUCACACCUGGGGGUGGGCGCUGUGCCUUGACAGAGGUCAGGAAAUGAGUAACCUGCAAACAGGCUGUAACAGCUUCCCGCCUUUUUCUUCUCUGUAUUAAGGUAUAUGAAUCAUGGGGAUAGACAAUGAUUUUACAGUGAUCGCAGAGGGUCAGGAAAUGACUAAUCUGUAAGGAGGUUGUAAAAGCUUCCCAACUUUUUCUUCUCUUUUUUGAUGAAUAUGAAUCGUCACGGGGAUAGACAAUGAUUUUACAGUGGUGGCAGCAUAAAGAUGGCAGAUUUCUGUGCCUGUCAGAAGAGAACUGCUUAACUCAUCCUGUCAUUUCUUAACCGAGACAACCAAUUCUGAAGCAACAGCUGAUUUGGUAACGGGCUAGCUGAUUUCUAGUAGAAGUCAAAGCAAGCCACACAUGAAUUAAACCUGCAUUUUUAAAUGAAGAGAAUAAACCACCUGUUCAGACAUAGAGGAAAUUAAAUUUUACAGUCUUACAGAAACGUGUUUUAUUCUUUUAAAAUCAAAAUAACCUAUCUGAAAAAAAAAAAAACAAGGUAUUUUUUAUUGGGUAUUUUUUUUCUGAACAUUUCCAUCAACAUUCUAGGGGAACUUUAGGAGACAAACUUCAUAAAGCUUUCCUAUGGAAAAAAAAGUAAAGGGAUCAUUUCAGAUGACUGCAUUAAACAUUACAGGUAUGUACCACUGACCUGAACUGCAGUGUAAACUAUUGAGCAGAGGUGUCAAACACCUUAUAUGUUUCUUUAGAUAAAAUAGCUGUUUUCAUACACCUGAUACUUUUCAAACCUUCUUCCCCCUCCUAAAGUGGUUGGAGCCAGUUUGGCACAUUGGCAAACAGAAUUCCAGAGGUUGGGAUGUGACUGGGCCCAUGCUGACCCCUUCCUGCCUUGCUGGGGCCACUUGUCCUUCUGCACUUCCCUUUUCUUUCUGUGGCUGUUGGCAGAGACUGAGCCUGGGGCCUAGACAUAGCAAAGAAAUUAUGAAGUGGCACAGACACCUAUGUGUCCAUGAAAAUUAUAGGUUAUUGCUCUCUGUGUUGUCAAACCCUGGUAAAAUUCCUUCAUCUACUACAAAUAUAACCUUCUGCCAGGAACAAAUCUACAUUUGCAAUAAAUUCAGGGAAAACAAGAUGACAUGGUGGGAUUUUUCUUUGUUAAAGGAAGGACAUUAAACCCUCUGUUUGGCAUCUGAAAAUAUGUGUUGUGCCUGCUCAUUAUUUCAAAAAAUCUUGCAAGCUCUGGACAGUCUCAGAAGGAGCUAGGAUUGUUUAUUUCUCCUUAUCAUAGAAUUUCUGCUCUGGAGAGGGCCACAACAUGGUCAUCAGUUUUAAGAAGAAAACCAGAACUUUGUCAUUUAUAUCUGGAUUUUUCUGGAAGACUUGCCAGGUGCUGAUUGCUCCCAUCUGCUCCAAGACUGCCUCUUGUGUACUGUCAGUGUAGACAGUUCCACUUGUUUCUGUGGGGUUUGUGGCCCCUGAGUGGGUUUGGAAUAAAUCAAAACUUUCACCAGAGCUGUGUGCCAGAUCAGAUAACCUAAUGAGAGCUCCUGUGAGAACUUGGGGUUUGGUUUAGGGGUUUUGUGUGGUGGUAAAGUUUUUUUUUUUAAUUUGUGUUUUUAAAGAAAAACUUUGUAGUUUUUUUGUUGUUUGGUUUUAAGGUAGUUUAUUGUAAGUUAUUUAAAAGAUUGUUUUUUGUGGCUGCGGCUGUUUGGUUAGCAGCCUAGGUAGAGAUAUAUAUACUCUUGAUACUUUUAUUGUUUGGUGGGGUUUUUUUUCCUUUAUUUUAGGGUUGUUGUUAUUUUUUAUAUGAUUUAUUAUGUGUUAUAUGUUUAUAGGUUUUUUCUAAUACUUAUUAUUUAUGUUAUAAGGUGUUUUUUUAUUUUAAACUAAUUUAUAAGUGUUAGUAUUAUUAAGAACAUGGAGGUAAGGAAGAAGAAGGAGGAAGAAUAGGAUUAGCUUACUUUCUUUUAUUUUAGAACUUUUGAUUUCUAUGUAUAAAGUAAAAAAAACCCUGUACAGGUGUUAAAACUCUCUUGUACAAUAUUAAAAUUUUUUU
ensembl:lncRNA